UACGUAGGGUGCGAGCGUUAAUCGGAAUUACUGGGCGUAAAGCGUGCGCAGGCGGUUUUGUAAGCCAGAUGUGAAAGCCCCGGGCUUAACCUGGGAAUGGCACUUGGGACUGCAAGGCUUGAGUGCGGCAGAGGAGACUGGAAUUCCUGGUGUAGCAGUGAAAUGCGUAGAUAUCAGGAGGAAUACCGAUGGCGAAGGCGGCUCACUGGCUCGUUUCUGACGCUCAGGCGCGACAGCGUGGGGAUCAAACAGG
rnacentral:rRNA from 1 species